CCUACGGGUGGCAGCAGUGGGGAAUAUUGCACAAUGGAGGAAACCCUGAUGCAGCAACGCCGCGUGAAGGAAGAAGUAUUUCGGUAUGUAAACUUCUAUCAACAGGGAAGAAAAUGACGGUGCCUCACUAAGAAGCCCCGGCUAACUCCGUGCCAGCAGCCUCGGUAAUACGUAGGGGGCAAGCGUUAUCCGGAUUUACUGGGUGUAAAGGGAGCGUAGGCGGUAAUGCAAGUCAGAAGUGAAAGCCCGGGGCUCAACUCCGGGACGGCUUUUGAAACUGUGUUGCUAGAGUGCAGGAGAGGUAAGUGGAAUUCCUAGUGUAGCGGUGAAAUGCGUAGAUAUUAGGAAGAACACCAGUGGCGAAGGCGGCUUACUGGACUGUAAAUGACGCUGAGGCGCGAAAGCGUGGGGAGCAAACAGGAUUAGAUACCCGGGUAGUC
rnacentral:rRNA from 1 species